GGGUCAGUACCCAAGCGGCCAAAGGGGACCGGCUGUAAACCGGUUGCGUCAUGCUACGUUGGUUCGAAUCCAUCCUGGCCCACCA
rnacentral:tRNA from 2 species